rnacentral:lncRNA from 1 species
AUCAUUGAUAACAAAAAAAUGGGUGCAGGAACUCUAUGCUCUAAUGUUAAUCAACAUGCCUACAACCAAAGGAGAGAGUAAAACCCAAAGUCAAGACAAGCAGCUUGAUGCUGAGGGAGAAGAUGGCAACGAGGAUGAAGACGACGAAGAAGAUGAUGAUGGAGAUGGUGCAUUUGGAGAAGGAGAAGAGGAAUUGUCAUCUGAAGAUGGAGGUGGAUAUGGCAACAAUUCCAACAAUAAGAGCAACUCAAAGAAGACUCCUGAAGGUGGUGCUGGUGGGGCAGAUGAAAAUGGAGAAGAGGAAGACGAUGAAGAUGGUGAAGGUGAUGACCAUGAUGAAGAUGACGAUGAGGACGAGGACGACGAAGAAGAGGAUGAGGUCGGAGAAGAGGACGAAGAAGAUGGUGUUGAAGAAGAGAAUGAAGAGGAAGAAGAAGACGAAGAUGAGGAAGCCUUGCAGCCACCAAAGAAAAGGAAGAAGUGAAUUUAGCUUAGUCAAGCCUCCUUUUGUAUUGUUGUGUACGAAUUUGGCUUCUAACUUCCCAUGAUGUUUUUUUUAAGUAUUAAACUUCUAUGUUCUUGUUUUCUUUAUAAGGAGGCCUAUGUAGGACAUGUUUUAAUUGAUAUCUGUGUUUACCAUUGCGUAAUUAGAAUUCUACAUUAUGUUGAGCAGUCAGUCUUAAAUUUACAAGACAGAAAAAAUAAUGAUCCUAGUUAAUUUUAACGUGACUUUUCUCACUUCACCAACUUCUGUAAUUUGUUUAUGUUCUACUACAGUUCC